UGCAUAUUCGAAGGGUUUGAUUCAAACACAGAAUGAAACUUAGUGAUUUUAAUAGUGAUGCUAUUUUUCAUUCUUCUGCUGUGAAAAUUUUUGAAAACCUUUUUGGAACAGAAUUCUUGAAACUCUGUGAAGUUGAAUUCUUCAGGACUUACCUAACAUAGCGCUGACGUGUGCCACCAUUUUAGGAGAAGGCAUAGGGCGCUGUUUGGGGGGGAAAAAAGCUCUGGUCUUUGGAAAUGCAGGGUUAUUUUUAGCUAGAGUGGAAGGAAUUCAUCUCUUCCACCAGCUCACGUGGAAGGUCCAUUGCCGAAGUGCCGUUAACUUCAGGCAAAUUAUUCUCCUUGAUGCCACAGGCAGAACAGAUGCCUUUGUACAGAGGUGAAUUGAAUCAGCUGUUUUCCACCAGUGCAGCAACAUGUAAUAACGUGUGUAAUCAUACAGGAGGGUAUGUGGAAAAUUGACCUCUGCCACAUGAACAGAAAAAGGAAAUACCUUCCACUGGCACUAAAUCCUAAUGCAAAAAACUGAUGCUAUUGUUGUUGAUGCUGUUCAGUAUUAUCCCAGACUUCAUCCUUUGUUUGGAUAAGUGGUUUGUUUUAAGUGCUAUGACACCUUAAAGAAGCACGUAGAGGAAGUCAGUCAUUAGACAAAAAUAAUCUGUGAUUUCUACCAGGGUGGAACAUGAAGUAACCGCUCACCAAGCCAUUUAUGUCAUGAAAAGUGACUUUAUUUAUUUAUUUAUUUUCUGUUGUUGUUGUGUGAUCCAAAACAUGGGAAGUUGCUUCUUUUCCAGUCAUGAUGAGCUAAGGUUUAUUUAUUGCUAGCAGUUCAAUUGGAAUGAUGGCAGAAAAGGCCUGAAUCUCUUAAAAUCUGCAGGGAGCAGUCAGAUAGAAAAGAAAUGUUCUUCCUAGUAACAGUCUGUUGUUGCAGAUCGCAUGUAAUGUUUGGAGGCUGCCAUUAGCUAUAGGAGCCAGACAAGAUAAGGAGAUCACUACAAAUGACAGAAACCUCCAAGAAUCUUAAUGGAGACUUUUGUACAGGUUGAGCUGCUGAAAGAGCAAUUCAAAAAGAAACUUCUAGGUUGAAAUAGCAUUACUGUUCUGAUGAGAGUGGAGCCACAAACUGAUGUUCAUUGAACUAUUUCUGAAAGUUGGAUUGGUGUCAGCUCCAGACUCUCUCCAUGUGUUAGAUGCAGUGCCUUCCUUUGCAGUGCAGAAUGCAUAAUGAGAAGUAUGAAUCUGACCAUUCCUAACUUCAAUCUUUUUCUCUCUUCUCUUUCUCCAAUCCUCCUCAUCAGAUUGUGACAGCAGUGAAAUUUUUACAGAAUCCCCGAGUCCGCCAAAGUCCAAUUGCAACCAGAAGAGCAUUUCUGAAGAAGAAAGAUUGAGGAGCUGCAUUACAAGAGAUACUCCUUUGAUGAUAAUGGUGUUGUGAAGAAGCCAUUCAGGGAGACUCUCAAAUUCCAUGUCCUGUUCAACCUACGGUGAUCUUGAACCAUUUAGGUAUACGCUGCGCAGAACAAGAGAGGUGAUUCAUUUAGAUUACAUUAGAUAAACAGUGUGCUACAUCUCCUGUUUCUCUUGGGCCAUGAAAAUUCCAGUGUAGAGUCCAGAAUCACCUUUGAUGUGAUUUUGUAGCUUGAAAAUUAUUGAUAAAUUGGAACAGACUGUUUUGGUUCAUGGGAAAUUGCAUACGCUCUAAAAUAUCAGUUGUAGGCUUAAUUUUAAAAAAAUAAUUAGAAUGUCAUGGGUUUAAUAGUGUCUCUCCACUUGGCGAUCUGACAGUAACUGCGUAAUGUAAAAGAGCUGUUAAAAAUGGCUUUGCAAAAUUAACUUCUAUUGCUCCAUGAGUGUGUUUUGAGUCAUAUUUGUCUUGUUUACUGUCAAAAUAAUAUUUCCAUUCCUGGUAGCAUUUCAAAACCAAUAUGAUUACAGCAGAGUGGGUUGAGGUCUGUUCUGGAAGAUGAUGCAAAAGUAGUCAGCGGUAUUCUGAGUCCUGAAAUAGUUAGCCUUAGUAGUGGGCAAAAAGGACCCAGUUCCUGAGUCCAACUUGUAAAUUAACACAUCCUUUAUCAUGUUCUUAAGUGAAAAUAAAUACAGAUUGCCAAAAGAAAAGCACCUUUGUAGUUGCAGUCUAAAAGCAGACAUGGAAGAUCUGAGGAUAGACGACAUACUUGGCUUUGGGCAAGAUGCUUGUUCUCAGCUUGCCCACCUGUGAAAUGGAGUUAAUUACCACUUUUGUAUCAGUGGCAGUUAGAUAUGUUUUAACUAUGUUAAUAAACUGCUUUUAUACGCUUGUUUUGGAAUUGUUGAUGCUGUAGUGUGUUUUGUGAUUGUUGAAGCUGCUUGCUGCAGUAAGAGCCACUCUUUACAGAGAAUUUACUUCCAUCAGGUUUGUAUGGGAGGGGAGAGCUGCAAACUUGAGAAUGUCAGGAUGUCAAGGCUUGGGCACAUUGCGUGCAAUCCUAAUCCAGCCCUGCAGCUUUGACCUUUGAAGCAAGCUUCACCUUGAGACAGAUGAAGAAAUCUAGUUUUUGUUUGUAUAAAAAUAUUUUUGCUACAGAGGGAAUUUGCUCUCUGUGGUCAUUCAGCCCAGGGCUUCCCCACAGUCUUCCUGGAGCAAAUAAAGGAAUUCAGUUCCUGAUCUGCUCUGUGAAUGAACCUGGUAUCGUAAGUCUAAAGAGACAGCCUUCUCUCUUGGGGCUAAAACAAGGAGUGGAGUGUAAUUAGGUUAAUCUGUGUUGCUCUUCUGCUGAAAUCCAUCUCAGACCUAAUGAUACUUUCCUGCUAGGAAAGAUAAAAGAAGUUCGUGCAUGAGAUAAUUCUGUAGGAUCUCUUAGACAACAUCUCUGCUGUGUUUAAAACACUAGGUCUUGGAUGCACACAGACAUGAAAUCCUAUUAUUUACUUUUCUGCUACACACUGUUCCCUCUUAAUUCUCAUUUGGAAAGCAAUCAUUCUUUUCUUAGCUAAAAGUAGAAUUUAGUCUUUGCUUCAUUCUUUCCUAUCCUUUCUGAUGAGUCCAGGCGAGACUACGCUCCCCUAGGAGGAGAGCAGAGAAUUCAUUCUCAAUGAAAUCUGAGGCUCUCUUAAGUAAAAGCUGUUGACUUUGUCAUUC